CACAGCCCAGCCUUCCAGCCAUAUUAAGCUCUGUUCCGCCACAAAGAACCAAAGAAAAUUCUACAUAUGCACAUUAAUUUUCCUUUGUUGCAGUUACAAAGCUGACCCACGCUUUCUACCCCUCCAGGCUUCAACAUAAAGCUUUAAGAUGGCUUUGCUGAUGCCUGCUCUCCUUCCUGGUGUUCUCUACCAGUCACCAGCAUCAUCUUUUGGACAUAUGGGAUCUGACUGUAUUAUGUCCCUGCCCAACACCUUUCUGGACUCCUCAUCACUGUCAGGACACAAUCCAUGACUCUGGGCUCAGUCCCCAAAGCCCUCAUGAAGCCACAUCUCUGUCCCAGCCAUGCCACCCACCUAAGAGACCCUGAACACAACUGCAUGUCCUCAGCCUGCUCCUUUGUGAUGCUCCCCCUGUUCCUUCUGUGAUCUCAUGACAGCCUCUACACACAUCCACGGUGGUAGUUAGUUACCAUGUUGUCCUGUGGUCCCUUGCUUGGCCGUGCCCUCGCACUCUUGGCCACUUAGGAAGAACCAGCUCUCCCCACCAGUGGAAAGACUGGAAAGAGCUUAAACUAGUUCAGCUUACAGUGAACUUACAUUUGGAUGUGGGCUCUGCCACCUGCUCACUGGGUGCCUUUGGGCCAAACACAAGCUUGGAAUUAGGCAGCCUCCCUGUCUCAGAGCUGCAGAGAAAAGGAGACUGGGACAGAAGAGAUGCAGCCAUGGAGGCAGAGUCUCAGAGCACAGGGAGCAAGCCAAGGCCAAGGCCAGAGAGAUGCUGCCUGGGAAAGAAAGGGGAACGUGGAGGCUUCAGUUUCCACUGAAAUUAUUGGUCUCCGUGGGAGAAAACAGCAGCUUACACCUCACACAGCAAAGGUUGUUAGCUGGAAGAAAGGGGAAAUCAAAAUCAUUAAAAAGCAAGAGAAUUAGAAUUUAAAAUGAACCUGAUUUGAAUAUU